rnacentral:lncRNA from 1 species
GGGCCUGCCUGUCCCUGCCUGCCUGCCUGCUUUUGUCCUCUUUCUGUCCCAUUUUUAACUUCGGGAGAAAACUGUUGCAUUAGAGCCAGGAUUCUUUGGGUUUUACUGGCCUAAACUAAAAUGUUAGGAAAACACUCCCGUGUCACAAGGCUCUAGAGCCACAGCCAAAACCAUAACUGGUGCCCUAUUUAUUUUGAGCUGUCCCCUCCCUUGAGCGCCAGAGCUGGGUGGGCUCCGUUACUGGGCUGAGAGGACCCAAGGGGACGGUGUACAGCUGCUAGGACAUAGCUCACGCGCCCUACUCAGGACAUCUUACCCCACACUGCUGCUAAACACCGCUGACGUUGCUGCCAUUGGAGAGAGGGAGGAACAUUCCUUUUCCAGGCAAGGGCAGAAAAGCUCAAGACAGUGCCAGCAAGGGGCACUACGCUGGUGCUCCUGCCCACCAGUGCCACCCUUGAGCAGCUGGGGAGAGCGGCGCAGUCACAACUGACCUUCACCCAGCUUCAUCUGUGUAUGCUUUAAAAGCGUGCAGGGGUGGGCUGGUUGUUUUUUACACCUCCUUUACUAGAUGAAUUCAAACCCACCUGAAAACUUUUAAAACCCCUUAUUUUAUUUGUCAUGUGUGUGUGCGUGUGUGUACAUUGGAGGAGGGAAUGGGUUGGGGGCAGAGUUCUUCCAACCAUCCCUUCCUCCUUCCAUUUUUGUUUCCCACCUUCUCCAAGGUGAGGAGUUAUUUAUUGAAUUGUUGGAUCAGUCUGAAUUAGGGCUUCAUGGGUGCUUGGUUGGUCAGGUGGUUCAUCAUGCCUUCUCAUUUGCAAACCAGACAUAACAAGCCCCAAGCAAUCUGCUGCAGUCCCUUCUCAAAACCCAACAGGCUUUAGCCAAAAUGCUCUCAGAGCAGAGCAGUGCCUUGUGAGGUGGCUGCCGUAGCAUUCUGGAAAGGGAUCCUCGUUUCCCAAAGCCUGAGGGACCCCAGCCCCUCCUCAGUGCCAGCACAGCCCCCGUGGCUGGGAGGUGGCAAGCUCAGCCCUGCGCUGGUGAUGCCAUUUCACUCUUGCCAUACCCCAGCAGGCUGAUGAGGAACAGUGGGAGGGGAGAUCCCAAAGCACAACUCUUCUCCAAGGAGAAACAAAUCCACUUUAGAGCCUGCUGUCAGGUCACUGUUGCCAAAGGCCAUCGGGAUCGUGCAGCCUGACACCCCUUGGCCCUGCGCCCGGUCAGGGGAUCGAUUUGUGAAUUAUACUGUACUAACUCCGUGACUUCCAUUCACCUGAACAGAAAUAAAAGAAACAUUGGAUUGAAAAA